ACGUAGGUGGCAAGCGUUAUCCGGAAUUAUUGGGCGUAAAGGGAGCGUAGGCGGUUUAAUAAGUCUGAAGUUAAAGGCAGUGGCUCAACCAUUGUAUGCUUUGGAAACUGUUAGACUAGAGUGCAGAAGAGGCAAGUGGAAUUCCAUGUGUAGCGGUAAAAUGCGUAGAUAUAUGGAGGAACACCAGUGGCGAAGGCGGCUUGCUGGUCUGCAACUGACGCUGAGGCUCGAAAGCGUGGGGAGCAAAUAG
rnacentral:rRNA from 1 species